rnacentral:rRNA from 1 species
AGCAGCCGCGGUAAUUCCAGCUCCAAUAGCGUAUAUUAAAGUUGUUGCAGUUAAAAAGCUCGUAGUUGAAUUUCGAGAUCAGUACGCUGGUCGUGCCUUCGGUAUGCACUGGUGUCACUGGUUUCUCCCUUCUGAAGAACCGUCAUGUCAUUAAGUUGGUGUGGCGGGGAAUCAGGACUGUUACUUUGAAAAAAUUAGAGUGUUUAAAGCAGGCUCGCGCUUGAAUACAUUAGCAUGGAAUAAUGAAAUAGGACGUUUGACCCUAUUUUGUUGGUUUCUAGGAUCGACGUAAUGAUUAAUAGGGAUAGUUGGGGGCAUUAGUAUUCAAUUGUCAGAGGUGAAAUUCUUGGAUUUAUUGAAGACUAACUACUGCGAAAGCAUUUGCCAAGGAUGUUUUCAUUAAUCAAGAACGAAAGUUAGGGGAUCGAAGACGAUCAGAUACCGUCGUAGUCUUAACCAUAAACUAUGCCGACUAGGGAUCGGAUGAUGUUAAUUUUUUAAUGACUC